GAUGAACGCUGGCGGCGUGCCUAACACAUGCAAGUCGAACGAGGCCCUUUGUAUUCGUACGAAGGUGUCCUAGUGGCGAACGGGUGAGUAACACGUUGGUGACCUGCCCCAAAGUGGGGGACAACUCCGGGAAACUGGAGCUAAUACCCCAUGUGUUCCAAGGAGUUAGAGGUCCUUGGAGGAAAGGAGUAAUCCGCUUUGGGAGGGGCCUGCGGCCCAUCAGCUAGUUGGUAGGGUAAUGGCCUACCAAGGCUACGACGGGUAGGGGACCUGAGAGGGUGGCCCCCCACACUGGCACUGAAACACGGGCCAGACACCUACGGGUGGCAGCAGUGGGGAAUAUUGCCCAAUGGACGAAAGUCUGAGGCAGCAACGCCGCGUGCGCGAUGAAGGCCUUCGGGUUGUAAAGCGCUUUUCUGGGGGAAGAGGAAGGACGGUACCCCAGGAAUAAGUCUCGGCUAGCUACGUGCCAGCAGCCGCGGUAAAACGUAGGAGGCGAGCGUUAUCCGGAUUUACUGGGCGUAAAGCGCGUGCAGGCGGUUUGGUAAGUCGGACGUGAAAGCUCCUGGCUCAACUAGGAGAGGCCGUUCGAUACUGCCAGACUUGAGGGCAGCAGAGGGAGGUGGAAUUCCGGGUGUAGCGGUGAAAUGCGUAGAUAUCCGGAGGAACACCAGUGGCGAAGGCGGCCUCCUGGACUGUCCCUGACGCUAAGACGCGAAAGCUAGGGUAGCAAACGGGAUUAGAAACCCCGGUAGUCCUAGCCGUAAACGAUGCAGACUUGGUGUUGGUGGUGUAAAAGCCAUCAGUGCCGUAGCUAACGCGAUAAGUCUGCCGCCUGGGGACUACGACCGCAAGGUUA
rnacentral:rRNA from 1 species